rnacentral:rRNA from 1 species
AAGACGAACGCGUGCGGCAGCCUACAGCAUCAGUCGAACGGAUCUUAGGGAUUAGUGGCGGACGGGUGAGUAACACGUGGGAACGUGCUUGGUCGGACACUCAGGGAAACUUGAGCUAAUACCGGAUGUGCCCUUCGGGGGAAAGAUUUAUCGCCAUCUGGAGCGGACCGCGUUCUGAUUAGCUAGUUGGUGUGGGUAAAUGCCCACCAAUGCGACGAUCAGUAGCUGGUCUGAGAGGAUGAUCAGCCACAUUGGGACUGAGACACGGGCCAAACUCCUACGGGAGGCAGCAGUGGGGAAUCUUGCGCCAUGGGCGAAAGCCUGACGCAGACCUGCCGCGUGAAUGAUGAAGGUCUUAGGAUUGUAAAAUUCUCUCACCGGGGACGAUAAUGACCGGUACCCGGAGGAAGACGCCCCGGCUAACUUCGUGCCAGCAGUCCGCGGUAAUAAGAAGUGGGGGCUAGCGUUGCUCCGCAUUUACAUGGGCCGUAACAGGGAGCCGUACGCGGGACUAGUUAAGUUAGAAUGUGAAAUGCCCAUUGCCUCAACCAUUGGAAAUUGGCAUUAGAUUACUGGGCAGGACUUGACGUACGGCAAAAAGUUAUGUGAACGCCGAGUAUCACGUCAUAUAG